ensembl:lncRNA
AUAUAUAAGAUUUUUAGUUUUCUUUUCUUAACUUGAUUAAGAAAAUGCCUGUUCAUUCCGACUUUACUUGCCUAAGUAUAAACUAGUACUGGCCUGGAAAUUGUGAACUGAAUUUUACUACGUCUAGGAAGAUUAAAUGGAGACCCCCCCGCCCACUUCACACUGUAGCUUACAACGGAGAUCAGCGACAGGGUUCCAAGCAAUGUCCGGGCGCCUUUAAGAGGAAGCGCGGUAAUUUUCCACCGCCCCACUGGCCCCGCCCACGCGGUAGGCGGCUGGGCGCGGCGAAGUGCGGCUGCGUGGCGCGGGCCUCCUGUUGCUUGGAAACCACCUCUUCCACCCUUGGAGCCCAAAGUCCUUUUGUUUCCAAGAUGGCCUCUGAGUCCUGUCUUAAAGAGCCAGAUGGUAUAGAAUUUGCCUGCAAUGAAGGAGACCUGGGAAGAUCCCCUGGAGCAGGGAAUGGCAACCCACUCCAGCAUUCUUGCCUGGAGAAUCCCGUGGACAGAGGACCCUGGCGGGCUACAGUUGAAGAGUCGCACAGAGUAGGACACGACUGAACGGCUAACACUUGACUUUGUAUCCCAAAAGUGUUUCUGCCUAUAACAAACCUUGAAAUAAUUCUAAAACUAUGGAGCCUUUAUACUUUGGAAAACACUGUUCUAUGAAGCCGAUUUCCCCAUUUUGUCUCUCAUUUUCAGUGAGACGGGAAGUACUGAUGCAUGGACAAAGUAGAAGGAUAUUGUUCAUUCUGUUUUGCAUGAAAUAUACCAAGAAAACAUUCAAAACACCUACCAAGAAAAUUCAUAUUCAAGAAGUUAUAACUGUUUUGAAUCCCAGAGUUUUGUUUAAUGGAGCUUCUGUUUUCAAGGAAAGCUUUUGGACUGAGAUGUCUCAUGAAGGCAGAAGAUCCCACAGCCCAGGAAAAUCUACUGACCCAGUUUCCCAAGGAGAAAACUCACAGACAUCAAGGAGGGGCUCCGUACAUGAAAAUGUGAGACCCAAUGUUGAAUUCAUUGCCUGGGAUUCACAGAAGAAAAGGGAGCUUGAGCAGACUGAAUACUAUCGUUCUGUUGCCUUGAGAGUCUAGUUUUGUUUCUACUUUUUC